GGGCCCGUGGUCUAGCGGCUAUGAGGAGAGAACAAUAGUUCUCUCCUAGCAAACGCCACCUUGACAUGGUGGAGGCCGAGGGUUCAAAUCCCUCCGGGCCCACCA
rnacentral:tRNA from 1 species